CACCAUUCAAACUCUUAGUUUUUUGACUUAGUGGUUUGGUUUUGGAAGUAGAUUUAAUCACUUAAAUCUCUUUUGUAAUGCAUUGACGAGUACCUAUUGUCUUAGUUGUCGCAAAACUUUUGUCAACUUCAAGAUAACAGAUACAAUCGUGUCUCCUUUUAUCUGUCUUCAAGACUCUCAAAA
rnacentral:misc_RNA from 1 species